UUGUCAGGUCUUCCAUUUGCAGCCAUACCUCCCAACACCACAUCUCAAGCAUUUUUCUUGAAUACGGUAAAUGGAGUAGAUCAAACUCCUGAAUGCAGGCUAGGAGUAAAAGGGCGAGAGCUGCUCUACUAUGCUCUGCCGUGACCAGCGUCGACCUUCCUAAGAGGGGAUGGUGAGGAGAGUAAUUUGGGUGGAGGUCGGAGGUAAGAGAACCUCUGCAUAAGAUGGCGAUCUUCCCUAUAAUUCCAGAGGCCAGAGGGAGUUGUUGUGGGCCUUGAAGUCGAUUAAUGGAGGAUUCAGGGAGAUCAGAGGUGUUGCAUGGCUACUUAUCGGUAGCUUUCUCAAGCCCGGUAGUGAUACUA
rnacentral:lncRNA from 1 species